rnacentral:rRNA from 1 species
GCCUAAUACAUGCAAGUCGAGCGAAUGGAUUGAGAGCUUGCUCUCAAGUAAGUUAGCGGCGGACGGGUGAGUAACACGUGGGUAACCUGCCCAUAAGACUGGGAUAACUCCGGGAAACCGGGGCUAAUACCGGAUAAUAUUUUGAACUGCAUGGUUCGAAAUUGAAAGGCGGCUUCGGCUGUCACUUAUGGAUGGACCCGCGUCGCAUUAGCUAGUUGGUGAGGUAACGGCUCACCGAGGCAACGAUGCGUAGCCGACCUGAGAGGGUGAUCGGCCACACUGGGACUGAGACACGGCCCAGACUCCUACGGGAGGCAGCAGUAGGGAAUCUUCCGCAAUGGACGAAAGUCUGACGGAGCAACGCCGCGUGAGUGAUGAAUGCUUUCGGGUCGUAAAACUCUGUUGUUAGGGAAGAACAAGUGCUAGUUGAAUAAUCUGGCACCUUGACGGUACCUAACCAGAAAGCCACGGC